CGCUGGCGGCGUGCUUAACACAUGCAAGUCGAACGGUAAGGCCCUUCGGGGUACACGAGUGGCGAACGGGUGAGUAACACGUGGGUGAUCUGCCCUGCACUUCGGGAUAAGCCUGGGAAACUGGGUCUAAUACCGGAUAGGGACUCCUGGGCUUCAUGGUUGGGGGUGUAAAGCUUUUGCGGUGUGGGAUGGGCCCGCGGCCUAUCAGCUUGUUGGUGGGGUAAUGGCCUACCAAGGCGACGACGGGUAGCCGGCCUGAGAGGGUGACCGGCCACACUGGGACUGAGAUACGGCCCAGACUCCUACGGGAGGCAGCAGUGGGGAAUAUUGCACAAUGGGCGCAAGCCUGAUGCAGCGACGCCGCGUGAGGGAUGACGGCCUUCGGGUUGUAAACCUCUUUCAAUAGGGACGAAGCGCAAGUGACGGUACCUAUAGAAGAAGGACCGGCCAACUACGUG
rnacentral:rRNA from 1 species